rnacentral:rRNA from 1 species
CUACGGGAGGCAGCAGUGGGGAAUAUUGGACAAUGGGGGCAACCCUGAUCCAGCCAUGCCGCGUGAGUGAUGAAGGCCUUAGGGUUGUAAAGCUCUUUCGCCCGCGAAGAUAAUGACUGUAGCGGGAGAAGAAGCCCCGGCUAACUUCGUGCCAGCAGCCGCGGUAAUACGAAGGGGGCUAGCGUUGUUCGGAAUCACUGGGCGUAAAGCGUACGUAGGCGGGCAAUUAAGUCAGGGGUGAAAGCCUUGAGCUCAACUCAAGAACUGCCUUUGAUACUGGUUGCCUGGAGUCCGGGAGAGGUGAGUGGAACUGCUAGUGUAGAGGUGAAAUUCGUAGAUAUUAGCAAGAACACCAGUGGCGAAGGCGGCUCACUGGCCCGAUACUGACGCUGAGGUGCGAAAGCGUGGGGAGCAAACAGGAUUAGAAACCCUUGUAGUCC